rnacentral:tRNA from 1 species
GGUCGCAUGGCUCAGCGGUAGAGCACUUCAUUCACAUUGAAGGGGUCACAAGUUCAAAUCUUGUUGCGACCA